GAUGAACGCUAGCGGGAGGCCUAACACAUGCAAGCCGAGCGGUAUUGUUUCUUCGGAAAUGAGAGAGCGGCGUACGGGUGCGUAACACGUGUGCAACCUGCCUUUAUCUGGGGGAUAGCCUUUCGAAAGGAAGAUUAAUACUCCAUAAUAUAUUGAACGGCAUCGUUUAAUAUUGAAAGCUCCGGCGGAUAGAGAUGGGCACGCGCAAGAUUAGCUAGUUGGUGAGGUAACGGCUCACCAAGGCGAUGAUCUUUAGGGGGCCUGAGAGGGUGAUCCCCCACACUGGUACUGAGACACGGACCAGACUCCUACGGGAGGCAGCAGUGAGGAAUAUUGGUCAAUGGGUGCAAGCCUGAACCAGCCAUCCCGCGUGGAGGACGACUGCCCUAUGGGUUGUAAACUUCUUUUGUAUAGGGAUAAACCUACCCUCGUGAGGGUAGCUGAAGGUACUAUACGAAUAAGCACCGGCUAACUCCGUGCCAGCCGCCGCCUAA
rnacentral:rRNA from 1 species